ACCGCUGCAAUGAGGUGGAGGUGCGGUAGGGACAGUAGGGAUCGUUGCAGGCACCGCCAUUAGCGCCAUUGUGAUUGUGCUUUGUGACACGGAGUGACGCACAGUCUAUAAAUAAGUUUCAAGGAGUGAAGUGAUAAUGUGGUUGUUCUAAAAAAUAAGCACGUAAUCACCAGACAAAGGAGAACAAAGUGAAAAAAAACUUGAAAUUUCAUCAAAGGUCUUCCAGAGCUCAAAUUUUUCAACAUAUUUGUGGAGUUUCGGAUAACAUUACGAGGAGUCUUCACGUGUGCAUCAUUGAAAAUAUAAAAAGUUCAGUAAAGUGGGUGAAAACUGCCAGGAACGUAGAUAUUUUCGUCAAAUUGCGGAGGUCAACAGAUUCGUCCUUGCAAAGGCCAAUUCUAACU